rnacentral:rRNA from 1 species
GACGAACGCUGGCGGCGUGCUUAACACAUGCAAGUCGAACGGAAAGGCCCUGCUUUUGUGGGGUGCUCGAGUGGCGAACGGGUGAGUCACACGUGUGUAACCUGCCCUUGACUUUGGGAUAACUUCAGGAAACUGGGGCUAAUACCGGAUAGGCGCUCCUGCUGCAUGGUGGGGGUUGGAAAGUUUCGGCGGUUGGGGAUGGACUCGCGGCUUAUCAGCUUGUGGGUGGGGUAGUGGCUUACCAAGGCUUUGACGGGUAGCCGGCCUGAGGGGGUGACCGGCAACAUUGGGACUGGGAUACGGCCCGAACUCCUACGGGAGGAAGAGGUGGGGAAUAUUGCACAAGGGGCGGAGGCCUGAGGCAGCAACGCCGCGUGCGGGAUGAGGGCCUUCGGGUGGUAAACCGCUUUCGCCUGUGACGAAGCGUGAGUGACGGUAGUGGGUAAAGAAGCACCGGCUAACUACGUG